GAAAUGCGAUAAGUAAUGUGAAUUGCAGAAUUCAGUGAAUCAUCGAAUCUUUGAACGCACAUUGCGCCCGCCAGUAUUCUGGCGGGCAUGCCUGUCCGAGCGUCAUUUCAACCCUCGAACCCCUCCGGGGGUCCGGCGUUGGGGAUCGGCCCUUAACCGGCCGGCCCCGAAAUACAGUGGCGGCCUCGCCGCAGCCUCUCAUGCGCAGUAGUUUGCACACUCGCACCGGGAGCGCGGCGCGGCCACAGCCGUAAAACAAACCAAACUCUGAAAUGUUGACCUCGGAUCAGGUAGGAAUACCCGCUGAACUUAA
rnacentral:misc_RNA from 1 species